AUGACCGACUCUUCCCUCUGGCCCCAAGCAGAAGGUCACGUGCUUGGAGCAGAGCAGAGGACAUUUCCCACUUCUACACUCCAGAUGGUUUUGGCCUUGCUGGAAGCGGUCACAAAGUGGCUUUGGAAUUCACUCACACAACAGGAGGGCAUUUUGCACAGGUGGAGAAUGUGUCCUGAGGACCUAAGCCUAAGAAUCUUCAAGAUGGAAGAGUAGAGUGAGCAACGAAUGAGCCAGAGGGCUCUUGUCCUCUGUGUGCAACUCUGGGCAGACAGCAGGUGGAUAUGGGACUUGGCCUGCUGGAGGGGCCCUGGCAAGAGGAGCUGGCAGGAGCAGAUGGCAAAGGUCAGUGACUCUACAGUCCUUUUCCCCUACUGCGUAAGAACCACACUAAUAUAAAAACAACAAGACCAAAAAAUCAAACAAAAAAGAUAUCUGGAGGAUAUCAGCAAAAAUACACAAUACAAUAAUAAGUUAUCAAUUAAAACAAAUUGAGGCAAAAAAAUUAAAUAUUGAAAAAGUAGGUCAGGUCCUGGGGUACAAGCUGGGGAUCUUAUUGCAGAAAUUCAGAUUACAAGGUAAUUAAACCAGAGUACUAUGAUUGAGCUGAUAGAUUUGAGGACAGAAAAUACAGUCCUGGGCAAAUGAUUACCCCAUUCCUUUGGCCUGUAGGGAGAAAAUACACCAAUUAUUUAGAGGGAGCCAAGCUCUUCCUGUUACUUGGCUCCUAAAGAAGGUCUCCCCUGGGCUUCAGGCACUGGGCAUAGAGAGACGUAGUGGAAGGUGUUCACUGUGGCAUCUGCACAUAAAAAAGAAGUGGGUUUACUAAGGCAAUUAAAGAGUUCCUCCUGGAGGCCACAGCCUUGAUGUGUUCCUGAAUGACAAUAAAUUCUGUGGGGAGCACAGCAACAUGGUCUCAGGGUAUAGGUCUCUGAUGGCUUAACCAGUGCUAAAGAGAGUGUUAACAACACACUUCAGUCAAUAGCACUACAGUGUAAGUCUUAGAAACAUUUACCUUCAAAUUCAAAUCUCGUCUCUGCUGGUUCCCAGCUUUGUGAUUUGGGCCUCUCUGUGAUUGUCUAACCUCUCCGAGCCUGUUUCCUCAUCUAAAAGACGGGAUGAUUGCCUCAUGGGUUUGAUUUGAAGAUUAUGAGAAACAUGGACCCAAAGUGCUGUACAUGGUGCCUGUCACAUAAGACAUAAUACACAAGACACGCUACAUCCCAAUAAAAGCUUCUCAUCCCACAAGAAACCUGCUCUAGAAAAAGAUGAAGUAUGGUGAUUUCCAACCUUGUUGACUACAAGAAAUCUUUUUGUCAUCACAUGUUUCUCAGACUCACACAUGACAGGAGUUUCACUUUCAGUACCACUCAGGGAGAAAAUGCGUGACUGUCACACUUCACACUGUAAUUGGUUAAUCCUAAGAGCAUGCCCACGCACUUGCAAAGGCAUAACACUAUGUUGAGGGAGGCGUGUGAUCCUCAGGAAUUUCAGCAUCACCCAGGGCCCCACCACGGCUCUGGGGCCCAUGGCUCUACCAGGACUGGAUGUGGCCCUUGUGGGUCAUGUUGUUGGUCUAUACCCCUUGGUCCUGCACUGGCCCCAAUCCUCAUCCAGAGUAGAGACUGAGGAGGAGGUGGGCCACGUGCUCCUGGGAGCUGAAACUCUACUUUCAGAAAUUAAGGCUUAACAGGGUCAAUGGGGAUCUAAAUAUCCACAGGGGUGUUCAUCUACUUUGUAAGCAUAGGUACUGGGUUGUAUAGUGUUUCACCAUCCCCAAAAUUAUGUCCACCCAGAACCUCAGAAUAUGACCCGAUUUGGAAAUAGGGUCUCUGCAGACGUAAGUUAGUGAAAUUCAGAGGAGGUCAUACCGAAUUGGGGUGGGCCUUAUAAGAGAGCCGUAUAAAGACACAGAGAGACACAGAUAAAAUACCAUGUGAGGAAUGAGGCAGAGACUGAAGGGAGGCACCUAUCAGUCAAGAAACACCAAGGCUUGCCUGCAACCACCACAGGUUAGGAGGGAAGCACAGAAUAGAUUUUCUCUCAGAGGAUCUAGAAUGGACGACUUUGCCAAUACCUUAAUUUCAAACUUACGGCUUUCAGGAUUGUAAGAGAAUAAAUGUCUGCUCUUCUAAGCCACUCUGUUUGUGGUACUUAGUUAUGGCAGCCCUGGCAGACUAAUAUACCAUGAAUGUUCAUUCUUUCAUAGUUUUUAUUGAUUGCUUUUCCCCUUAUGAUUAAAGUAAUAAAUAUCCAUCAUAGAACUUUUAUAAAAUACAACUAUACAAAAAGAAAAAAUAUAUUAUUUCUUACUCCACUGCCUGAAGGUAAGUGUUCUAAACAUGUUGAUCUUUCUUUGCCUGGACUUCUGAGUACAAAUGUGUGUGUGAAUUAUCAUUUUUUAAAAAUUUAGAUGAUCAAUAGGUGUGCUUCUGCAUUUCACUUCUGAGAAGGUAAGAGCAGAAAACGGAAACACGUGUAACCCAGUUCUUUUGAACAUCUUUAGGUAACAUUCAUAACAACUUUCAAUCUUUCCCUAUACCAGAGAGAGUGGCCCACUUGGCAAGGAGGCCCUCCCAUUUGUGAUGGACGGAUGCUGGCAGAUGUCUAGUGAAUUUAGCACUUAGUUCUAGUUUCUGUUCAACUCCACAGUGCCCAGGAGAUAAGACAAAAUUGGUAGAAUGUAAAAUUCUUGACAGCCUCUGGGUUUUAGGACUUAGCAUGUCUUUAUCAUCAAGUCUGUUUACAAAGAAAAGUCUUUUGAAGGUUUUCCCCGUGGAACAGAGUUAUUUCAAAAUGGCAUGUGAUGAAAAGUUACACGAGCUUCCAGCAGCCUUGUCUGCUCCUGACAGGUUAUAGGGCGAAAUUGCUCUUGGCAGCCCAGGUUAGCCCCUUGAAGUAAGCCUGUUAGCUCCCUGGCUCUGUCGCAGUGUUAGCUGUGUCUGUCACUGAUGGCAGAGACAGCAGGAGCGAGACACCGAAGCAGAGUACAAGUCCUCGGAUGAUGAGACUGGCAAGGCUCAGCACCUGCCUUUCCUCAGACAUGAAGGGGUCUGUGCCCUUCCCUCAACAUGGAACCAAAGGUCUAGUGUCGGCCUGAAGGAGCUCAAACUAGUGCAGUAAAGGGGUAUAGAGUCUCCAACUGUGAACCCUGAAAAUCUAGACAGGUCUUAGUUAAUUUAGCAAGUUUGUUUUGCCAGGUUAAGGACAUACCCCUGUGACACAGCCUCAGGAGGUCCUGACGACAUGUGCCCAAGGUGGUCAGGGCACAGCUUGGUUUUAUACAUUGUAGGGAGAUACGAGACACCAGUCAAUAUGUGUAAGAUGUACAAUGGUUCAGUUCAAAAAGGUGGGACAACUUGAGGCAAAGGAGGGACAACUCCAAGUGGAGCAGGGGUGCCCAGGUCGUAGGUAGGUAAGAGACAAAUGGUGGCAUUCUUUUGAGCUUCUGAUCAGCCUCUCCAAAUGAAGCAAUCAGAUGUGCGUUUAUCUCAGUGAGCAUAGGGGUGACUUGGAAAUAGAGUGGGAGGCAGAUUUGCCCUAAGCAGUUGGGCUUGAGUGAUUUGGGGGCCUGAGAUUUAUUUGCCUUUUGCACAACUUUCCACUACCUAAGGAGACCUCACUACCCUUUGAUGUAGGAGCUGCAGACUAAACCUGUGUUUGUCUGGUAGCUAAUUAUCAGCACAGAGGUGGUGAGACUGCAGUGCCUGGCCACACCCAGCAUGCAGAGGCAGCGGGCCUAGGGGUUUUCUUUCUCUCUCCCCCUACUCCCUGCCUCCCUCUUUCCCUCCCUCCCUUCUUGCUUCUGUUCAAGUAAUUUAAAUUAUUUGCCAAAAUAUAAAACUCUGGAGAUUUUGUGCCAAAGAAGGAGAUAGAUUCUUUGGUUUGUCUAGAAAAAGCAGAAGACUUGGCAUCACUUGUCUGCUUUCCUGCAUAGCGACUAUUGGUCAAAGCUGAGUUGUAGCUCUGUCUAGACUGGACCUGUGCUGUUCACCUCUCCAUAGCCUCAGGCUCAGCGUCCCUCUUUCUAUUAUUGCCUAGGCCCUGGGGAUAUGCUGAGGGUGCCCUGCCUGCAUGAGCAGAACCUGCUGUGUUCCAAGUCAUGUAAUCAUGGACCUCCCCUGGCACCUCCCCUCCUCCAGAGGCCUGGAGGCCCUUGCUCUGGUUUCCUUCCGUGAAUGCAUCUCACCCUGAGAGUCAUAUAAGCCACCUGACCUCAGGUUCCUCAUGUGGGCAAGAGGACUGGGCUAGAUGGAGGUUUUCUGACUCUUCGUGCCCAGGGCAAUGCCGAGGACACCUUACUUAGAACUGGUGGCAUAACACCCACUGAGCACUGGCAGCCUUCUACCCUAGAUUCAGGCAAGAAGGGGGAUGCAUUGUUGGUAGGAAAUUCAAAACCCCUAAAACUCACCGAAAGUCUGCCUGUUACUUUUGAUCACUCAGUGACAAAAUACCCUACCAAAAAAUAUUUUGCUGGUCUGAGUUCUCAACAAUUUCUGUGGCUGC
rnacentral:lncRNA from 10 species